GUGGGGAAUCUUGCGCAAUGGGCGAAAGCCUGACGCAGCCAUGCCGCGUGAAUGAUGAAGGUCUUAGGAUUGUAAAAUUCUUUCACCGGGGACGAUAAUGACGGUACCCGGAGAAGAAGCUCCGGCUAACUUCGUGCCAGCAGCCGCGGUAAUACGAAGGGGGCUAGCGUUGCCCGGAAUUACUGGGCGUAAAGGGCGCGUAGGCGGACAGCUUAGUCAGAGGUGAAAGCCCAGGGCUCAACCUUGGAAUUGCCUUUGAUACUGGCUGUCUUGAGUUUGGGAGAGGUGAGUGGAACUCCGAGUGUAGAGGUGAAAUUCGUAGAUAUUCGGAAGAACACCAGUGGCGAAGGCGACUCACUGGCCCAAUACUGACGCUGAGGCGCGAAAGCGUGGGGAGCAAACAGGAUUAGAAACCCCAGUAGUCC
rnacentral:rRNA from 1 species